GGACCCGCACAAGCAGCGGAGCAUGUGGUUUAAUUCGAAGCAACGCGAAGAACCUUACCAGGGCUUGACAUCCCUCUGACCGGCGUGUAACGGCGCCUUCCCUUCGGGGCAGAGGUGACAGGUGGUGCAUGGUUGUCGUCAGCUCGUGUCGUGAGAUGUUGGGUUAAGUCCCGCAACGAGCGCAACCCUUGUCAUUAGUUGCCAGCAGGUUAAGCUGGGCACUCUAGUGAGACUGCCGGGGAUAACUCGGAGGAAGGUGGGGAUGACGUCAAAUCAUCAUGCCCCUUAUGUUCUGGGCUACACACGUGCUACAAUGGCCGGUACAGAGAGAAGCAAUACUGCGAAGUGGAGCAAAACUCUAAAACCGGUCCCAGUUCGGAUUGCAGGCUGAAACCCGCCUGCAUGAAGUCGGAGUUGCUAGUAAUCGCGAAUCAGAAUGUCGCGGUGAAUGCGUUCCCGGGUCUU
rnacentral:rRNA from 1 species